AAUGCAUUGCACACACAACAGUGCUGCGUUGCAUGAUGUUUACAUUGUAUGUUUAUCUCACAUCUUAUGAAAAGGCUGAAUAUUUAGUAAAUAUUUGCUAAAAAUAAUAAUUUAACCCAUUUCCUCAGUAACAUUUAAGAGAACUAGUAAUAUUUAUGUAAAAAUAACUAAUUUUUAUAGUCAAUUGCAUAGUCUUCCUGACAUCACAGUCAUGAUGACACACACACAAAAAAAUGACCAUAACCUUAUAAUAACAUUAAUAAAUAACUUGACAUACAUUAUAUAGUAUAAAUUAAAAAAUAUUUCUCCUAUCCUGCUUUACUGUGCAAAGACAUUGCGUUAUGUAAUUACUGAGUUUCUGGAGAUAUCAAAAUUAUGGCCUGUAGCUUGUUUAAAUCUGGCUCCAAAUGUUUCAGAAUAUACCACAACCUUUACGCCUCAGCAGCAGUGAACAUGAACAGAAUUUGCAUUAUUUUGUCUCAAACUGCAGGUCUUUCACAGGGGAGGCAGAGGCGCUUUCUGAUGAUGGCACCAGAAAUUCUACAACUGACCGGACUGAUGACAAACUAUGCUUGCAGUCGACCCCAUGACUGGAGGAUAUAUAUGAGACAACGAGAUGCUCAAUUCAUUCUGAGAACCAGCCAAGUGGAUGUUGUUAGCUAA
ensembl:lncRNA